rnacentral:rRNA from 1 species
AUUGAACGCUGGCGGCAGGCCUAACACAUGCAAGUCGAACGAGUGGCGGACGGGUGAGUAAUGUCUGGGAAACUGCCUGAUGGAGGGGGCUAACUACUGGAAACGGUAGCUUAUACCGCAUACCAUCAGAUGUGCCCAGAUGGGAUUAGCUAGUUGGUGGGGUAACGGCUCACCAAGGCGACGAUCCCUAGCUGGUCGGAGAGGAUGACCAGCCACACUGGAACGGAGACACGGUCCAGACUCCUACGGGAGGCAGCAGUGGGGAAUAUUGCACAAUGGGCGCAAGUCUGAUGCAGCCAUGCCGCGGGUAUGAAGAUGGCCUUCGGGUUGUAAAGUACUUUCAGCGGGGAGGCGUUACCCGCAGAAGAAGCACCGGCUAACUCCGUGCCAGCAGCCGCGGUAAUUC